GAUGAACGCUGGCGGCGUGCCUAAUACAUGCAAGUCGAGCGAAUGGAUUAAGAGCUUACUCUUAUGAAGUUAGCGGCGGACGGGUGAGUAACACGUGGGUAACUUGCCCAUAAGACUGGGAGAACUCCGGGAAAACCGGGGCCAAUACUGGAUAAAAUUUUGAACCGCAUGGUUCGAACUUGAAAGGCGGCUUCGGCUGUCACUUAUGGAUGGACCCGCGUCGCAUUAGCUAUGUGGUGAGGUAACGGCUCACCAAAGCAACGAUGCGUAGCCGACCUGGGAGGCUGAUCGGCCACACUUGGACUGAGACACGGCCCACACUCCUAAGGGAGGCAGCAGUAGGGAAUCUUCCACAAUGGACGAAAGUCUGACGGAGCAACGCCGCGUGAGUGAUGAAGGCUUUCGGGUCGUAAAACUCUGUUGUUAGGGAAGAACAAGUGCUAGUAGAAUAAGCUGGCACCUUGACGGUACCUAACCAGAAAGCCACGGCUAACUACGUGCCAGCCGCCGCCGUAA
rnacentral:rRNA from 1 species